AAGCGGUGGAGCAUGUGGUUUAAUUCGAAGCAACGCGAAGAACCUUACCAGGUCUUGACAUCCCUCUGACCGCUCUAGAGAUAGAGCUUUCCUUCGGGAGGGGGCCCGCACAAGCGGUGGAGCAUGUGGUUUAAUUCGAAGCAACGCGAAGAACCUUACCAGGUCUUGACAUCCCUCUGACCGCUCUAGAGAUAGAGCUUUCCUUCGGGA
rnacentral:rRNA from 1 species